rnacentral:rRNA from 1 species
UACAGAGGGUGCAAGCGUUAAUCGGAAUUACUGGGCGUAAAGCGUGCGCAGACGGUUGCGUAAGUCAGAUGUGAAAGCCCCGGGCUCAACCUGGGAAUUGCAUUUGAGACUGCGUAGCUAGGGUGCGGAAGAGGGAAGCGGAAUUUCCGGUGUAGCGGUGAAAUGCGUAGAUAUCGGAAGGAACACCAGUGGCGAAAGCGGCUUCCUGGUCCAGCACCGACGUUCAGGCACGAAAAGCGUGGGGGAGCAAACAGG